UACGGAGGGUGCAAGCGUUAUCCGGAUUCACUGGGUUUAAAGGGUGCGUAGGAGGGCAGGUAAGUCAGUGGUGAAAUCUCCAAGCUUAACUUGGAAACUGCCGUUGAUACUAUCUGUCUUGAAUACCGUGGAGGUGAGCGGAAUAUGUCAUGUAGCGGUGAAAUGCUUAGAUAUGACAUAGAACACCAAUUGCGAAGGCAGCUCGCUACACGAAUAUUGACUCUGAGGCGCGAAAGCGUGGGGAGCGAACAGG
rnacentral:rRNA from 1 species